GACGAACGCUGGCGGCGUGCCUAAUACAUGCAAGUAGAACGCUGAAGGAGGAGCUUGCUUCUCCGGAUGAGUUGCGAACGGGUGAGUAACGCGUAGGUAACCUGCCUGGUAGCGGGGGAUAACUAUUGGAAACGAUAGCUAAUACCGCAUAACAGUAGAUAUCGCAUGAUAUCUGCUUGAAAGGUGCAAUUGCAUCACUACCAGAUGGACCUGCGUUGUAUUAGCUAGUUGGUGAGGUAACGGCUCACCAAGGCGACGAUACAUAGCCGACCUGAGAGGGUGAUCGGCCACACUGGGACUGAGACACGGCCCAGACUCCUACGGGAGGCAGCAGUAGGGAAUCUUCGGCAAUGGACGGAAGUCUGACCGAGCAACGCCGCGUGAGUGAAGAAGGUUUUCGGAUCGUAAAGCUCUGUUGUAAGAGAAGAACGAGUGUGAGAGUGGAAAGUUCACACUGUGACGGGAUCUUACCAGAAAGGGACGGCUAACUACGU
rnacentral:rRNA from 1 species